rnacentral:rRNA from 1 species
GAUGAACGCUGGCGGCGUGCCUAAUACAUGCAAGUCGAGCGAACAGACGAGGAGCUUGCUCCUCUGACGUUAGCGGCGGACGGGUGAGUAACACGUGGAUAACCUACCUAUAAGACUGGGAUAACUUCGGGAAACCGGAGCUAAUACCGGAUAAUAUAUUGAACCGCAUGGUUCAAUAGUGAAAGACGGUUUUGCUGUCACUUAUAGAUGGAUCCGCGCCGCAUUAGCUAGUUGGUAAGGUAACGGCUACCAAGGCAACGAUGCGUAGCCGACCUGAGAGGGUGAUCGGCCACACUGGAACUGAGACACGGUCCAGACUCCUACGGGAGGCAGCAGUAGGGAAUCUUCCGCAAUGGGCGAAAGCUUGACGGAGCAACGCCGCGUGAGUGAUGAAGGUCUUCGGAUCGUAAAACUCUGUUAUUAGGGAAGAACAAAUGUGUAAGUAACUAUGCACGUCUUGACGGUACCUAAUCAGAAAGCCACGGCUAACUACGUG